AGGGGUAGAGCUCAGUGGUAGAGCACAUGCUUAGCAUGCACGAGGCCCUGGGUUCAAUCCUUGUACCUCCA
rnacentral:tRNA from 1 species